rnacentral:rRNA from 1 species
GAUGAACGCUGGCGGCGUGCCUAAUACAUGCAAGUCGAGCGAACAGACGAGGAGCUUGCUCCUCUGACGUUAGCGGCGGACGGGUGAGUAACACGUGGAUAACCUACCUAUAAGACUGGGAUAACUUCGGGAAACCGGAGCUAAUACCGGAUAAUAUAUUGCACCGCAUGGUUCAAUAGUGAAAGACGGUUUUGCUGUCACUUCUAGAUGGAUCCGCGCCGCAUUAGCUAGUUGGUAAGGUAACGGCUUACCAAGGCAACGAUGCGUAGCCGACCUGAGAGGGUGAUCGGCCACACUGGAACUGAGACACGGUCCAGACUCCUAAGGGAGGCAGCAGUAGGGAAUCUUCCGCAAUGGGCGAAAGCCUGACGGAGCAACGCCGCGUGAGUGAUGAAGGUCUUCGGAUCGUAAAACUCUGUUAUUAGGGAAGAACAAAUGUGUAAGUAACUAUGCACGUCUUGACGGUACCUAAUCAGAAAGCCACGGCUAACUACGUG